rnacentral:rRNA from 1 species
UACGUAGGGGGCAAGCGUUAUCCGGAUUUACUGGGUGUAAAGGGAGCGUAGACGGAGGAGCAAGUCUGAUGUGAAAAUCCGGGGCCCAACCCCGGAACUGCAUAGGAAACUGUUUAUCUAGAGUGUCGGAGAGGCAAGUGGAAUUCCUAGUGUAGCGGUGAAAUGCGUAGAUAUUAGGAGGAACACCAGUGGCGAAGGCGGCUUGCUGGACGAUGACUGACGUUGAGGCUCGAAAGCGUGGGGAGCAAACAGG